rnacentral:rRNA from 2 species
UUAACACAUGCAAGUCGAACGAACCUUCGGGUUAGUGGCGGACGGGUGAGUAACGCGUGAGAAUCUGCCCUCAGGAGGGGGAUAACGGCUGGAAACGGCCGCUAAUACCCCAUAUGCCGCGAGGUGAAAUGAAUUUCGCCUGAGGAUGAGCUCGCGUCUGAUUAGCUAGUUGGUGGGGUAAGAGCCUACCAAGGCAUCGAUCAGUAGCUGGUCUGAGAGGAUGAUCAGCCACACUGGGACUGAGACACGGCCCAGACUCC